rnacentral:ncRNA from 1 species
UCCCAUGCAGAGUAUGAUAGCGAGGAUGGUUUUUGAUCCUUUGACGUCGGCUCUGCCUAUCAUCGCAAAACAGAGUCCACCAAGCAUUGACUGUUCACCCACUAAUAGGGAGCAUGAGCUGGGUUUAGACCAUCAUGAGGCAGGAU